CAAUAUUUACACAGAUAAUGAUAGGUGUGAUAAAGGAUGAAAAGGUUUGCAAUUUGCAAAACUGUGCAAAAACUGAAAAAUGCAAACUUAGGAAUGAUUGACAGUGGCAUGUGACCAACAGUCACAUGGGAGCCUGAGUCAGAAGGAUCUAGGUGAAGAUUCCAUCUGCCCAACUGACUUGCUUCUCUCCUGAAGUAGUUGAGAUGAAGUCUUGAAGAGAUUUUCCCUGUGAUCAAACUGAGGAAGGAGUUUUUCCUGUAUCUGGCUGCUGGCAGCAUCAGUCUUACUUGGACAACAUCAGGACUUACUUGGACAUCUAACAACAAAUGAUCCUGGCUCUAUUUUAUUUUGUACUCCUGCUGGAACUCUUGACGAGGAAACUCCAUCAUUGUAUAUUAGUGCCUUCUUUGUUAUUUGCAAUGUUGAAAUUUGCCUAGGGAACAGAGAGAAGUAAAUUGCCCAGGAUCACAGUACAUCCUUAAGGCAGAAGUGGGACAGGAAGAAGGCCAAAAUGAAGAGAUAUUGUUGAGAGAUGACAAUAAAAACCUGAUAAAAGAUGGUAAGAAAAAAUUUCUCAUCAUUUCCUAUCACCUCACCUUUAUAGAACCUCAAACACAUUUUCUCUCUCAGUCAGAUCCUCUCCUGACUUUCCAGUUUCCAUGAGUGGCACAAACAUCCUCCUAGUUACUCAGGUUCAUCUUUACCUCUUUUCUGUGACUGGUCGGUAAAUAACAUUACUCCUUGGCCACCAC
rnacentral:lncRNA from 1 species